UACGGAGGGGGCUAGCGUUAAUCGGAAUUACUGGGCGUAAAGCGUGCGCAGGCGCUAUGCAAGACAGAUGUGAAAUCCCCGGGCUCAACCUGGGAACUGCAUUUGUGACUGCAUAGCUAGAGGUACGGUAGAGGGGGAUGGAAAUUCCGCGUGUAGGCAGUGAAAUGCGUAGAUAUGCGGAGGAACACCGAGUGGCGAAGGCAAUCCC
rnacentral:rRNA from 1 species